UUAAAUUGAAGAGUUUGAUCAUGGCUCAGAUUGAACGCUGGCGGCAGGCCUAACACAUGCAAGUCGAACGGUAACAGGAAUCAGCUUGCUGAUUCGCUGACGAGUGGCGGACGG
rnacentral:rRNA from 1 species